rnacentral:rRNA from 1 species
UAACACCAGCAGCCCAAGUGGUGGCCGCGAUUAUUGGGCCUAAAGCGCUCGUAGCCGGAUCAGCAAGUCCUUUGUGAAAUCGGGCCGCCCAACGGUUCGGCGUGCAAAGGAUACUGUUGGUCUUGAGACCGGGAGAGGUCGGAGGUACUCUUGGGGUAGCGGUGAAAUGCUGUAAUCCUGGGGGGACCACCAGUGGCGAAGGCGUCCGACCAGAACGGAUCUGACGGUGAGGGGCGAAGGCUAGGGGAGCGAACGGGAUUAGAUACCCGGGUAGUCCUGGCUGUAAACGAUGCGGGCUAGGUGUUCGAGUGGCUACGAGCUGCUCGAGUGCCGUAGAGAAGUCGUUAAGCCCGCCGCCUGGGGAGUACGGCCGCAAGGCUG